rnacentral:misc_RNA from 1 species
GAUGAAGAACGUAGCGAAAUGCGAUAAGUAAUGUGAAUUGCAGAAUUCAGUGAAUCAUCGAAUCUUUGAACGCACAUUGCGCCCCCUGGUAUUCCGGGGGGCAUGCCUGUCCGAGCGUCAUUGCUGCCCUCAAGCCCGGCUUGUGUGUUGGGUCUCGUCCCCCUUCCCGGGGGGACGGGCCCGAAAGGCAGCGGCGGCACCGUGUCCGGUCCUCGAGCGUAUGGGGCUUUGUCACCCGCUCUGUAGGCCCGGCCGGCGCUUGCCGAUCAACCAAAACUUUUUUCCAGGUUGACCUCGGAUCAGGUAGGGAUACCCGCUGAACUUAAGCAUAUAAUAAGCGGAGGA